UACGGAGGGUGCAAGCGUUAAUCGGAAUUACUGGGCGUAAAGGGCUCGUAGGCGGCCAACUAAGUCAGACGUGAAAUCCCCAGGCUCAACCUGGGAACUGCGUCUGAUACUGGAUGGCUUGAAUCCGGGAGAGGGAUGCAGAAUUCCAGGUGUAGCGGUGAAAUGCGUAGAUAUCUGGAGGAAUACCGGUGGCGAAGGCGGCAUCCUGGACCGGCAUUGACGCUGAGGAGCGAAAGCCAGGGGAGCAAACGGG
rnacentral:rRNA from 1 species